GGUCCCGGGUGUCCUGGAUCCUAUCCCAGAUGUCUUCAGGCAAGAGACGGGGGUACACCCUGAUUUGGUCGCCAGCCAAUCACAGGAAACAUAAAUAAUAAACAGCCAGCCAUUCACACCUUCAGCCAAUUUAGUCCUCAACUUACCUACCAUGGAUGUUUUUGGAAUGUGGGAAGAAACCACAGUACCCAGAGGAACCCCACGCAGGCACAGGAAGGACAUGCAAUCUCUACUCUGGCGAGGCCGGAUUUGAACCUGGGCUCUUAGAACUGCGAGGCAGAUGUGCUAAACAGCAGAGCGGUACCUGCCAAGGAAAGCACCAAGUUAAACGUCAAGCCCGAGCCACAACUCAGUCAGAAAAAAAGCCAAGCCGACAACGUGCAUGUGGAGGUGCUGCAUCAAAAUGGCUUGUGUUCCCCCUGAAAUUAAGCAGCCAAGAGCAGUGACAGCACUCCACUCAUAACAGAUCGGUGAGAUUAUGGAUCGUCCUCUUCUGGACAGUGACGUCUCUAUCCAGACUGUCUUUGCGCCGCAUUUGGAGGGAUCGAGAAGAGCCCCGUUGAUUGGGUGCGCAUCAGCAGCUGCCAUAAAGCCGGCCAAUCACGGAGGUGUGGCCCGCGAGUGGCCGUGACAGGACGUACGCAGGGUGAUGCAGUCGCAGUGAGAUGGGACGCAAUUUAUUGGAUUAACCCCCAGCAUGACACACACAGAAAGUAGAUGCGCACACACAAACACACACACAAACUUUAACACUCACAUUUUCGAGUGUGCAAUGAAUUAAUUACAACUACAGCAAGUGUGUACGGGGAGCUAAUGGGAAGUGACAGGAGCUGCGGCGAUGUCCUCAUCACUGCAGGCAUGCUGCGUUUCUUUCGCCCCCCCAAGCCCCCCCAACCCACCGUCACGACCACCUCUCCUGCCAGACCCCUCCCUCUUCCUGCAAUCACCCUGUUCAGCUUGACAUUUCUUUGUACUUUGGCCACUUGUCACUCUUUUAGCCGCCUGUAAGCACGCCAUGCGUAUUGGGGGAACAGCAUGAGUAUGCAGGCAGGAAGCGGCUUCUGCAAGAUGGAAACAAUUAAGUUCGAUGUGGGCUUAUUGAUUUAAUUUAGACAGAAAAUGGUUACAGUGUGACUGUUAGUGUUGUCACAGCACAAACAUUUGAAAAAUAUAUAAAAUGUCCAUGUAUAGAUGUGAACUCAUGUUUUCAAUAAUCCUUGGUUGUAAUGUCUUCUUAGGUAAACCUCAAAAUAUUUAAAGAAAAUGAUCUUUCAAUCUUACCUUUUCCUAACUUUUAAAUGCAAAAGAGUUUAAAAAAAGAAGUUCUUAUUCAGCAUUUAUACUUUGUCCAAGGAAAGAAAUCCUGUUUUUGCCUGAUUCAAGUGUUCUUGUCACCAGCAACUGCCUAAACCUGUAAUUUUUUACGCCUUCGUUGCUCGUUGCGGCCGCACAUUUUUUACGUGUUGAACUUUCAUAUAGCUAAAAAGAAAAACAUUUACACAUUUAGUGGGUCUGUGAUCGGAUGACGAAUGACACGUUAGAGACCAAUCACCACGAAUAGAUUGGGAUCUCUCUCUCUAUCACGCAGGUCGUGAUACUGCCGAUGUAGGAUUUUUAACAUAUUAUACAGUAUAUCGGACAUACUGAUAUAAUGAUGAUCUUGUCUCGCUUAACUCACAAAUGAUACUUGAAUGAAAAUUAUUGUACUUUCUGCCAUUUAAUGGAAGAACUUCUAAUUGUUUGGUUUGUCACCAUA